AUUCUCUUGUGUAAUGAUUAUUUGUAUAUUUUACUUUCAGUGUCUGAUACAUGUAGUUGCAGUCUGUCUUUGGAAGCUGUAGAAAUAACAAGAAAGGGACUGACAUAGUGUUUUGGUAGGGAAAAGUUUGAGUAUGUACAUAUAUAGUUGUUUGACCUGUCUUACCCUGUGGCAGUCCAAGCAGAUGUUACCAUUAUGAAAAAUGCAGGAGAACUUGAAGACAAUGGUUAGUGCAGAAGGGACAUAAAAGUUAUGAUAAAAGUAACAGAUAUAAAUAAGAAGUGCUACAAGUGUGUUGUCAUGUGAAAUGGAAUUUACCCCCAACUGUGCUGCAUGAUGUAUAUUCAAGUGCAAGACAGCCAUGCACCAGCUGUAAACUGAGAUGGACCCAUAUAAUAAAUAUGUUGACUUUCCUAUGUAUUAUCAUCUGUACAGAAUGUGUUCAUGACAAGACUGUAUACAUGUAUUGUUAAAUCAUUUUUUAUUUCCAUUAUUGCAUGCAUGUAAGAAGCAAGCAUUUAACAAUUGCAGUCAUAGAAGUGUUAAAAUGUGAUCAAUCUAAUUUAAAGAAACACAUUUAAUUGGACUUUUUAAGUUUCAUAGUAUUUUUGGUGGGGAUUGACCCAGUCAUUCAGCAACUUAUACAGUCUGUGAGUCAUUUCUUGUAUGUUAUAGUUUUCUUAAUAAUACAUUAAAUGUCAAAGUUAUGGUAAGAUGAACUCAUUCAUCACAUGUAGAUUAAUGUUAAAGCAGUUCAACAUUUUACCAUAAGUUAACUAAUAUUCUAUUUAACCAGAGUUGUCACAUAUUUUCAUAUAAAUAUUUGUAUAAUACAGUCUAAUCUAAUCUACAUAUGAUGUACCACAUUUUUUUAGUUA